UACGGAGGGUGCAAGCGUUAUCCGGAUUCACUGGGUUUAAAGGGUGCGUAGGUGGGCUAGUAAGUCCGUGGUGAAAUCUCCAAGCUUAACUUGGAAACUGCCGUGGAUACUAUUAGUCUUGAAUAUUGUGGAGGUAAGCGGAAUAUGUCAUGUAGCGGUGAAAUGCUUAGAGAUGUGGAGGAACACCGAUGGCGAAGGCAGCCUCCUGGGCCUACACUGACGCUCAUGCACGAAAGCGUGGGGAGCAAACAGG
rnacentral:rRNA from 1 species